GGAGGAAGUACUGGAGUCCUCCUGGCGGGACAAGGGAAAAGAGAUUUAUGUCAUGAGGACAGGGCUGGCUUUACUGGCAGUGGUCCAGAUCCUGUGCUCAGAAAGAUCGCGAGCCCGGCUUGAAGAUCUGUUGUCAUUAUCAUCUUGAAAUUGUUAAUAAUUUGGAACAAGGGGCCCCACAUUUUCAUUUUGCACUGAUCCUGAAAACUAUGCACUUAUGUGGUCCCAUAUAAGUGGAGGGAUGAGGAGCAGAGGGGGCUCAGCAGAUGCUGAGCUGCCUGCCCACGUGGACCAUCCAGUGACCAUCCUCUUUGGGUCAUAUGCUUUCCCAGAAUCAUUCGACACUUGUACAUCCUCUUGAAUGACGAGAGAGGAUGCAGAUGGGUAUGCACUGUCUUUAAGAAGGGAAAAUCUUAAAAAAAAAAAAAAAAAAAAAAAAAAAGGAAGGGAAAAUCUUGCUGCCCCCAUCGGAGUGGAUCUGAAUAUAACCAGGAAGGCUUUUCCCUAUGAGCACCUGUGAGACCUGAGACCAUCACCGAAAUACUCUGAGGUCCACACUGGCUCAUUGGACCAUUGGACCAUCUUGCCCUGUUAGGAUUUUUCUGCACGAGUGCAGAAAAGACAGACGGGAGGCGCUGGGCGGCAGAGGCUGCAUAACGUGCUCACGAGAGGACCGGCGGAGGACAAUGUUCCGCUUCUAACUCCCCCGCUCCCGAGGCCCGGGGCGCCCCGGCCACGCGCGCCGAGGGGACCCGCGGGACCCGUCCCGGGGCGCACUCGCUCUGGCCCCGGAGCCCGCCCGAGGCGGCGGACGCGCGCACAUCGCGGGCGCGACGCUGGGUGGCGCUGCCGGGCCGCCCCGCCGCCGACCUGUUGCGCCCGGGGCGCAACUCGGGCAGGUUCGGGACCCGGGGGCGCUCGGUCUCGGCGCGCGCCCCCGCGGCCCCCCGAGCCCCCCGCCCCGCCUGAGCUUGGGGCUCCCAAGCCCCCGGCCCCUGCGAUCCUCGCCGCAGCAGCUCCGGGCGCGUCGUGCACCGUUCGGGUGGGGCGGGAAUAAAGUUUUUCCGACUGGGACCGCGACCGGGAC
rnacentral:lncRNA from 1 species